rnacentral:rRNA from 1 species
AUUGAACGCUGGCGGCAGGCUUAACACAUGCAAGUCGAGCGAGCGGCGGACGGGUGAGUAAUGUCUGGGAAACUGCCUGAUGGAGGGGGAUAACUACUGGAAACGGUAGCUAAUAACGCAUACCAUCAGAUGUGCCCAGAUGGGAUUAGCUAGUAGGUGGGGGAAUUGCUCACCUAGGCGACGCUCCCUAGCUGGUCUGAGAGGAGGACCAGCCACACUGGAACUGAGACACGGCCCAGACUCCUAGGUGAGUCAGAAGUGGAGAAUAUUGCACAAUGGGCGCAAGCCUGAUGCAGCCAUGCCGCGUGUGUGAAGAAGUCCUUCGGGUUGUAAAGAACUUUCAGCGAGGAGGCGUUACUCGCAGAAGAAGCACCGGCUAACUCCGUGCCAGCAGCCGCGGUAAUAC